UUUACCACUUUUUCAGCAAAAUCCUUCAUCGAAAUAUCAUCAUCAACACUAAACAACCACCCAUUAACCUGCAACCAAAUCUUUCAAUCUAAAAAAUCAAAAUUACAAACUCAUAUCCUACAACUGGUUUGACAGUAACGAAGGUUUUCAGCAUGAUCUGAAAUAGGUCUAUGAACUUCACUUCCUUUUUUAAAUCUUCCACUGAAAAUCUACUCGUUGGUUUUGGGAUACAAACCAUUUCUUGGGACACAAUGGUUAAAGCUUCAAAAGCUCUUUAAGAUGUUCAGCCUGAGCUUGAAAAACUUUGGCAGAAAGCAGUCUCAAAGGUGUUUGACUUCAUCGUUCAGAAAUUCUAUAUAUGCAUUGAGAAAACCCAAAACAAAUAUUCAAAUACUUCAGCAAAGUGUCCUUUUAAAGUACAAGUAUGUUGUGAACUUCCUCAAGGAACAUACCACCAUCCCCAGUUCUGCUUUUGGCACGGGUUCUUUCAAUGUCCAUGCGAGAGGCUCAGUUGACUUGUCAACUUUUGGAGAUAAGUAAGCAGAUAGAACUGUUUCACUUGGAAAAGAAGAAGGAAUGAUUGCCGCUGCGAUUUGAUCGGAGAAGAGUGGAGGAAGGUGUAUGAAGAAGACUAAAUAUGGAGAUGUAUGAAGGGAAAUUAGAAUUUCAAAUGCUAUUGCCACCUAAGCCAAUGGGUCAAAGCCCAGUCAGCAUGUGGAGUAAAAGGGUGUGGUAAAAGUUGAUUAAAACUUUUAUAAGGGUGUCUUCGUAAAAAAAUAACUUCAAGGGGGCAAAAUCAAAUCUCGCUCUAAUGGCAAGGGGGUGUCAUAUAUUUAACCCUAUAUAUUUUUUACUCACACAAGUUCUAACCUUCUUAUUCAAAUCCACCAAAAGAAAAGAUGAUAUACCAUUAAUUAAAGUAACCAAUUUGUGUAUAUGACUAAUAUUUAUAAAGUUUUGGCCAAUGCAU